rnacentral:rRNA from 1 species
AUUGAACGCUGGCGGCAUGCUUUACACAUGCAAGUCGAACGGCAGCGCGGGCUUCGGCCUGGCGGCGAGUGGCGAACGGGUGAGUAAUGCAUCGGAACGUGCCCAGUAGUGGGGGAUAGCCCGGCGAAAGCCGGAUUAAUACCGCAUACGACCUGAGGGUGAAAGCGGGGGACCGAAAGGCCUCGCGCUAUUGGGGCGGCCGAUGUCGGAUUAGCUAGUUGGUGGGGUAAAGGCUUACCAAGGCGACGAUCCGUAGCUGGUCUGAGAGGAGGACCAGCCACACUGGGACUGAGACACGGCCCAGACUCCUACGGGAGGCAGCAGUGGGGAAUUUUGGACAAUGGGGGCAACCCUGAUCCAGCCAUGCCGCGUGCGGGAAGAAGGCCUUCGGGUUGUAAACCGCUUUUGUUCGGGAAGAAAUCCUCUGGGCUAAUACCCCGGGGGGAUGACGGUACCGGAAGAAUAAGCACCGGCUAACUACGUG